CCCCUCAUGGUCCAGUAAUGAGGACUCAGCACUUUGACUGCUGAGGGCUCGGGUUAGAUUCCUGGUUGGGGAG
rnacentral:tRNA from 1 species